rnacentral:rRNA from 1 species
GACGUAGGGUGCGAGCGUUGUCCGGAUUUAUUGGGCGUAAAGAGCUCGUAGGCGGCUUGUCGCGUCGACCGUGAAAACUUGGGGCUCAACCCCAAGCCUGCGGUCGAUACGGGCAGGCUAGAGUUCGGUAGGGGAGACUGGAAUUCCUGGUGUAGCGGUGAAAUGCGCAGAUAUCAGGAAGAACACCCGUGGCGAAGGCGGUUCUCUGGGACGGUACUGACGCUGAGACGCGAAAGCGUGGGGAGCGAACAGG